rnacentral:rRNA from 1 species
GGCCUUCUAGGAUCGUUCCUGACGCUGAAGGCGAUAAGCUAGGGGAGCGAACGAGAUUAGAUACCCCGGUAGUCCUAGCUGUAAACGAUGGAUGCUGGGUGUGGGGGGUGUAAAUUCCCUGUGUUCCGAAAGCAAACGCAUUAAGCAUCCCACAUGGGGACUACGGCCGGCAAGACUUCAACUCAAACGAAAUUGACUGGGACCGCACACGCAGCGGAGCGUGUGGGUUUAAUUCGAUGCUACACGAAACCCUUACCUGGGUUUGACAUGCUCGUGGUAGGGAACCCGAAAGACGUCCGACCUUCGGGAGCGUGCACAGGUGCUGCAUGGCUGUCGUCAGCUCGUGCCGUGAGGUGUCGGGUUAAGUUCCGUAACGAGCGCAACCCUUGCCCUUAGUUACAAGUGUCUAAGGGGACUGCCCGGGACAACUGGGAGGAAGGAGGGGAUGACGUCAAGUCAGCAUGAGUUUUAUAUCCAGGGCUACACACACGCUACAAUGGCCGGUACAAUAGGUUGCGAAGUCGUGAGGCGGAGCCAAUCCUCAAAGCCGGUCUCAGUUCGAAUUGCAGUCUGCAACUCGACUGCAUGAAGCUGGAGUUGCUAGUAAUCGCAGGUCAGCUAUACCGCGGUGAAUACGUUCCCGGGCCCCCUACACACCGCCCCACACGUCAUUGAAGCCUUCACCACCUGAAGCCGGUGAGCUAACCCGAAAGGGAGGCAGCCGUCGAGGGUGGGGCUGGUAACUGGGACGAAGUCGUAACAA